AAGAGCAACCAGCAGAAUUAUUUCAAAUCCUAAGGAUAAGACAGAAGAUAUAAAGUCAUGCAGGUUUCGAAUGGCAUGAUGGAAACUGAAGCCACAUUGACCAGAUCUCCGGGAUUCAGUGUGUUUUAUCUGACGGUGACACUGUUAUCAGAGCUGCGAGUCAGAUCACGACACCACACAAACCUCGAGACCCAGAGGUCAAAGGUGCCGUCACCAAUCCACCAUUCAAACAUCAAUUCUGAGAAACAAAAUUAAGUUCCAGCCUACAUUUUUUCUCAGUAAGUAUCAUGUUUC